rnacentral:rRNA from 1 species
UGAGGAAUCUUCGGCAAUGGGCGAAAGCCUGACCGAGCAACGCCGCGUGCAGGAUGACGGCCUUCGGGUUGUAAACUGCUUUUAUUUGGGAAGAUUAUGACGGUACCAAAUGAAUAAGGACCGGCUAACUACGUGCCAGCAGCCGCGGUAAUACGUAGGGUCCAAGCGUUAUCCGGAAUUACUGGGCGUAAAGCGUGCGUAGGUGGGGGUUUAAGUGAGAUGCGAAAUCCUGUGGCUCAACCAUAUGGACUGUAUCUCAUACUGGAUCCCUUGAGGAUGGCAGAGGCAAGUGGAAUUACCGGUGUAGCAGUGAAAUGCGUAGAUAUCGGUAGGAACACCAAUGGCGAAGGCAGCUUGCUGGGCCACACCUGACACUGAGGUACGAAAGCGUGGGGAGCGAACAGG